UACGUAGGGGGCAAGCGUUGUCCGGAUUUAUUGGGCGUAAAGAGCGUGUAGGCGGCCAGACAGGUCCGUUGUGAAAACUCGAGGCUCAACCUCGAGAUGUCGAUGGAAACCGUCUGGCUAGAGUCCGGAAGAGGAGUGUGGAAUUCCUGGUGUAGCGGUGAAAUGCGCAGAUAUCAGGAAGAACACCUAUGGCGAAGGCAGCACUCUGGGACGGUACUGACGCUGAGACGCGAAAGCGUGGGGAGCGAACGGG
rnacentral:rRNA from 1 species